rnacentral:rRNA from 1 species
UAGAGAAGUGUUAUCCGCGCUGGACCGUGUACAAGUCUCCUGGAAUGGAGCGUCAUAGAGGGUGAGAAUCCCGUCUUUGACACGGACUGCCAGGGCUUUGUGAUGCGCUCUCAAAGAGUCGAGUUGUUUGGGAAUGCAGCUCAAAAUGGGUGGUAAAUUCCAUCUAAAGCUAAAUAUUGGCGAGAGACCGAUAGCGAACAAGUACCGUGAGGGAAAGAUGAAAAGAACUUUGGAAAGAGAGUUAAACAGUACGUGAAAUUGCUGAAAGGGAAACGCUUGAAGUCAGUCACGUUGUCCAGGGAUCAACCUUGCUUUUGCUUGGUGUACUUUCUGGUUAACGGGUCAGCAUCAAUUUUGACUGUUGGAAAAAAGUCAAGGGAAUGUGACAUCUUCGGAUGUGUUAUAGCCCUUGGUUGCAUACAAUGGUUGGGAUUGAGGAACUCAGCAUGCCGCAAGGCCGGGUAAUUUUACCACGUACGUGCUUAGGAUGCUGGCAUAAUGGCUUUAAUCGACCCGUCUUGAAACACGGACCAAGGAGUCUAACAUACCUGCGAGUGUUUGGGUGGAAAACCCGAGCGCGCAAUGAAAGUGAAAGUUGAGAUCCCUGUCAUGGGGAGCAUCGACGCCCGGACCAGACCUUUUGUGACGGUUCCGCGGUAGAGCAUGUAUGUUGGGACCCGAAAGAUGGUGAACUAUGCCUGAAUAGGGUGAAGCCAGAGGAAACUCUGGUGGAGGCUCGUAGCGAUU